rnacentral:misc_RNA from 1 species
GAUGAAGAACGCAGCGAAAUGCGAUACGUGGUGUGAAUUGCAGAAUCCCGUGAACCAUCGAGUCUUUGAACGCAAGUUGCGCCCGAAGCCAUUAGGCCGAGGGCACGCCUGCCUGGGCGUCACACGUCGUUGCCCCCCCAUCUACUCCUUCGGGAUUGCGGGGGGCGGAUGAUGGCCUCCCGUGCGCCUUGUCGCGCGGUUGGCAUAAAUGCCAAGUCCUCGGCGACGCACGCCACGACAAUCGGUGGUUGCGAAACCUCGGUUGCCCGUCGUGUGCGGUCGUCGCGCAUCGAGGGCUCGAAAAAAUUGUCGGGCUCCGGCUCGGCUUUCAACGCGACCCCAGGUCAGGCGGGGUUACCCGCUGAAUUUAAGCAUAUCAAUAAGCGGAGGA